rnacentral:rRNA from 1 species
UACGUAGGGGACGAGCGUUGUCCGGAAUUACUGGGCGUAAAGGGCGCGCAGGCUGCGUUACAAGUCAGCUGUUAAAUGCAUGGGCUUACCCCAUGAGUGCGGUUGAAACUGUAGUGCUAGAGUACUGUAGAGGCAAGCGGAAUUCCCAGUGUAGCGGUGAAAUGCGUAGAUAUUGGGAGGAACACCGGUGGCGUAGGCGGCUUGAUGGACAGUAACUGACGCCGAGGCGCGAAAGCCAGGGGAGCAAACGGGAUUAGAUACCCCUGUAGU